CCAUAACACUUGCCAAAAUUGCUGCACAGGUGAACAUGACCAGAAUGCAUGUAGAAAUCUAUCUGCUGUGUUAUCUGUACAAUGAGGGCAAAUAAUCCAGUUUGUGAGACCCAUUUGGAACAUCCUUGGUCCUGUAGAAUGUGUUCUAUGAAGAAUUUUAUAUUGUAUUAGUUGUAAAUUUGUAUUUUUUGUCAUUCUGAAUAAAUUAAAACAUAUAUUAUUCCAGAACAUGUGAUUAGUGGUGAAGUCCAGAUCAGCUUCCCAUUUAGAGAUCGGAAGGCUUACUCUCUGAUGAACAUUGGAAAUUAAGAUUUUUGAUACUGUCCUUUUCCCUGAGAUAUCAAUAAAUUAAGAUUCAGUAAACUUUAUUAAUCCCAGAGGGAAAUUAUUUUGCACACUUUGAUUGCUGUCACAGAUGGAGGUACACAUGGAUGGAGAUUAAAAAUAAAAAUGCUAACAUACCUCCUCAGGAAGUACAUCCUGCUCUGAGCCUUCUGGUUCACAGCUGAGGAGCCCUUUUUCAAGUCCAGUUUAUUGUCACUCCCAGGUAUUUGUACUCGGUGACCACUUUCACCUCCUCAUUUUUAAUAGUGAAAGGGGUGACAGCACUCACAGGUUUCCUAAAGUCCAUCACCAGCUCCUUAGUUUUACUGAUGUUCAGUUGGAGGUGGUUCUGUCCACACCAGUCCACAAAGCUGUCCACCACUCCCUGAUACUCUGUGACAUCACCAUAAGGGAUACGUCCUACAAUAGCAGAGUCAUCAGAGAACUUCUGUAGGUGACAGGACUCUGAGUUGUACCUGAAGUCUGAGGUGCACAGGGUGAAGAGGAAGGAGACAGGACUGUCCCCUGUGGAGCUCCUGUGCUGCAGAGCACGGUGUCAGACACACAGUUCUGCAGGUGGACGUUCUGGGGGCGAUGAGGUAGUCCAUGAUCCAUGAGAUCAGGGGGGCUCUACCUGCAUGUCCUUCAGUUUCUCUUCCAUCAGCGCAGGCUGGUGUUAAAUGCACUGGAGAAAUCAAAGAACAUGAUCCUCACUGAGGCUACAGGCUUGUCCAGGUGGUUGGAGCAGAUGUAUGUUGGCGUCAUCCACCUCCUAUGGGGUUGAUAUGUGAACUGGAGGGGGUCGACUGAGGGUUUGACCAGAGAACGCAUGGAGUCCAGGAUCAGCCUCUCAAAGCCUUCAUGAUGUGAGAGGUCAGAGCCACGGGUCUGUAGUCGUUGAGGACUCUGGGAUGUGGCCUCUGAUUCACUGGUUCAAUGCAUGACUUUUUCCACCCAAGAGGAACUGUCUCCAGCUGCAGGCUCAGGUUGAAGAUGUGUUGGAGGACACCACACAGCUGGGGAGCACAGACUUUCAGCACCGUUGGGCUGAUUCUAUCAGGUCCUGCAGCCUUUGUUGGAUGAAGCUCACCUGAUCUGCUGUGAUUAUGGGUGGGGGUGGAUGAGCCCAGUGGGUGAUUUUCUAUUGCUGGUGGUGGUUGCAUCUAGAUAGGAGUAUUCUUAGUUUUUGCAUUAAGUAUUGACUUUAGUUGUUGAUAUUCUAAGAAAUUGGCACUAGUGGUUUCAUAGUGGGACACUAAUUCUUCAAAGGAGGUAAACUUGUCUCUUGUGAAAACAUGUUUCAGAUGUGUUAUCCCUUUGAAACAAUAUUGCCUCUCUCUGUCAGAGAUGCUCUUAUGCUAAUGCUCUGGUAGCAACUACUGUAUGGUGUUUGAUUUUGGUGCUGAUAAAUGGUAGAUCUGCAACUUUAAUAUUUCCACAAAAUGUUUGUUCAAUGUAUAUCCAUGAGGAGUCUGUUGGAUUCGGUUUGAUCCAUUUGUGGAUAUGGUUCAGUCUGUUGGCCAGAAAAUAGUGGUGGAAGUUAGGUAGUUCUAAGCCGCUGCAGUGUCUGGAUUUUUAAGUAUUUUUCAAACUAAUUUGUGGUGGCUUGGUUUUCCACAAAAACUGUGAGAUGUAGGAGUCCAAUCUUAAACCACACCUGACCUGGCUGAAUCGGGAUCACUGACAAUGUGAUUUUUUAUGGUGGAAAUUCUUCCCAUAAGUGGAAUGGGUAAGGACUGCCAUCUUUUGAGGUUGGCUUCUAUUUAUUUUAAUAAUAGAUUGUAGUUUAGAUCAAUAAGCUCUGAUAGCAUAGAUGACAAUUCAAUGCCCAAGUACUUAAUGUUUCCUGAGUGGAGUGUGGAGGAAGAGUUGUUAUUCACCUUAAAGUUAAGUGGUAGCACUAUAGAUUUUGUCCAGUUAAUAGAGUAUUCUGAAAGUCCUGAGAAUUCACCUAUGAGGCUAAUAGUUGUAGGAAGAGACGUCUGUGGCACCAGGAGAAACAGUAACACAUCGUUAGCAUAUAAACUUAUUUUAUGAUUUACUGAUUUGGUCCAUAUUCCAGUAAUUCCUUCAUGCUGUCUUAUAGCUGCGGCUAGAGGUUCAAUAAACAUUGCAAAUAGUGAUGGAGAAAGUGGGCAGCCCUGUCUGGUCCCUCUAUGCAGAUUAAACCUUGGUGAGGUCUGGUUAUUUUUUCUAACUGCGGCACUUGCUGAGCUGUAUAGUAUUUGGAUCCAGUCCAUGAAUGAUUUCCCAAUGCCGAACUUAUGCAGCGGCGAAAGAGAAAGAAUUAGCUUGGAACAAAAUAGCUGCCUGAGUCAAUGUGUAAGUUUACAUUUUAAUCAUACAUUGUUCGGUGUAACUAAUUACUAAAUAAUUUUAGUAUUGUAAAGACUUGUAUUGUAUAAGUAUUUAAGUAUAAGUUACUUUAUUAAUUGCAUUCCUGUUGUGGUUGAUGUGGAAUUUGUAAAGUAAUGAUAUUUCAAUAAUCCAAUACUUUUAUGGAGAGCAAUAAUUACAUUAAUCUAAUUAGGUUUUUAAAAGUUACCCAAAACACGUAAUAAUAUAAGAAUUUAAUUUCAAUUUUUAUGUAGGUGCAAUCCUGCAGCCAUAAGAAGAAUGUGGCAGCAGCUAAAAAUGAAAUAUAAAAACAUUAAAACAACAAAACAAAAAUCAAACAGCUACGGCACAAUCAUAUGAUGGGUAUGGACUACCUGACUUUACAACAUUUGACAUAUUAAAUAACUAAAUAACUAAAUAACAUGCAGAGUAUAGCAGUGCAGCAGCAUUUUCAACAUGGGUGUAAUGUUUUCACACAGUUAAAUCAUUUGACUUCUACUCAGCCAACAGAAAGAAGGCAGAGACUAGAACAACUGGUGGAGGACCUGCACCUCCACCACUGACGCAUGCAGAGGAGAAGGCCCUCAGCCUGAACACUGGAAAGCAGGGGCUGAAAGAAUUCCUGGAGGGAGUUCAUCAGAACCAGUCACUCCCCAGGAUACAAGUGCAUUUGUAAAAUAUUCUGAUGGUAAUAUGUGAAUCUUCCUGUCACAACAGAAGCCCAGGUUGUUAGUGUGGAAGAACAGCAGGAGGAGGGCCGUCACAUUCUGCUGCACAGAUGCACACAGUUCAGUGAUGUUCAGUAAAUGCCAGGGUUCAAUUCUGUAAGUAAUGAGGAACUAUGUCGUGUAACUCUAAAUCUCCUGUACAGUAUGUCCAGUCACCGGUUAAGGAGUUGUAUAAACGCCAUCUUAUCAAGAAAACGUUACACUUGGACCGCCAGAUUGAAAAGACAGAUCUAGAAAUUAAAAUUCUCAAACAAAAGCUGGAGGUGAGUGUACAUGUAUAGUUAAAGGUGAAUUGUAUGAAUUAUUGGAAGAAUCAUUAAAUCUAACAACUGCCUUUGUAUUUGUUGGAAAUGAAAAAAAAAACAAAUGAUUUUUAUUUAUUCAGUUUCUUUUAUUGGUGGUGGUGAUGGUUGAUUAAGACAUUACAGCAAAUCAUAUCUCUGACCUUCCAUCCACCCUGCAGAUUACCGUGAUGGAAGUCCUCCUCAGGGUCUUGUAUUUGUAGGGCAGGGUAAGCGAAAAAUAUAAAAGACAAUAGAAAUACACAUGUAUACAAGACCUUUUUUUUCCUUUUUCAACCCUACCGCUUUAUGGGGUGCCGAAUGUAAAAGGAGCACCUAUAACUAGUUUUCUCACAUUUAACUAAAUGACACAACAUGUUUUCUCACAUUUAGUUAAAUGUGGAAAAGUCUAAAUGUAAAUG